AUGAUGGUUAAGUUGGUUUCAAAGAAAAUUCAAGAGACUGACUAGAGUCACUGAACGACCGCCUGAAUAGACCGCCUGAAGAGCCCCAGGGGUGACAGAUGGGGCCUCCGUGUUUCCCUUGACUGUCGUGGCCAGUGAUGUGGUCUGAAGGGAAGAGGAGAAGCUCCUCUGCACAUCAAGGGUGGCGGUGAUUGCAUUUGAGGUACCAUUGCCCUUAAACACAGGUCUCUUGGGGAGGAUUGUGGUGGUAGGUGUUGCCCUUUGAAACAAAAAGGGAUAUAAUUAGCUUGAAAGUGAUCAUGAAGCUCUAAAGUCAGAUUUGUGGGUAGAAAGAGAGAUUUGGGGGCAACCUGCUGUGGAGAACAAAGGACUGAUCCACAGAGAAAGCAAAGCCCACUUAAGGACUUUGGAACACACACACACAGAGCACUCUGCUCUCUCCAGUUGUUGGGAGAAUCUUCCUUCGGCUCCAGAAGCCUAGGGGCCCUUUGCCAUGGAAGCCCACUCCGUUAGGGUGGGGACUGCAGCAUCCAGGCACUGUGCGGUGGCAUUUGGGUGGAGCCCCUGCUUGACAUAGGGAGUUUCUCCAGGAAGGAUUGGGCUGAUGAAUACCAAAGAGCUCUCUGAAUCUGGAGUUUGAUUGUACGCAUUUCCAUCCUAAUUCCCCAUUGAGCAGUUGCUUGUUGGUUUAUGUACGGCCUCUUGAAGCAAAUCAUUAGUUAGAUGGUUUUAUUUUUAAGGCCAGGUCUAAAACGUGGCUGUGAAUAAAUUCUUUCUUGACUCCGGCAAAAAGAAUGACUUUGAUACUGAGCAGUGGAAAGAAAACUUACAGCCAGUUCUGCUAUAAUGCGACGUAUGCACUCCUGAAAAUUACUGCACUAUGCAAAAUCAUGCACUAAAAACCAUGAGCUUAGGUGGGAAACGGAUAGGAGCCCGGCACUCAAAAACCAUGUCAUUGGCAUAUUUAAAAAUAAGAAAGGUCCCUAAUAAGAAGGGUACUACAGUUUGGCAUAUUAAAUGUUUAAGAAAAACAAAUACUACAAUAAAUGUGGUUCUUUAUCAUGAAAGAGGCAUGCAGUUUGCUGGUGGAAGUGGGCGUGCGAAGGGUUAUAGCUUGUGAGGCUGUGGAAGGAGCAUCUGAAACCCGGGGUGGCUGGUGGCAGUGUGUGUUUUGUGUCUUUCUGCCCAACUAGAGUCACCUGAGUUGUGGUUGUGUGUUCACCAACUCUCUCCAGACAAAAUUAGGCAUAAAGAGAACAUGAAAUUUGCAGCAUGCUCAAAAUUGUUACUUGUAUAUCAGUCGUGUUGGAGCAAAAACCCUUUAGCAGCACUGACCAUAUAUUAUUGUCUUUUAUGAAGACAGCUCAGGAUAAGCAUAUAUAGCCUUAGACCCAGGGAUCCCUACACACAGGGACCUGUAUUUGAAGGAAUUGGAGCAGAGAGACUUUUAUAAUUCUUUAUAAAGGGUUCAAUCAUUUAACAUGUUAUGGAAAAAAGGGAUACUGUGUUUAAAGCCUCCCUUUUACUUCCACAUUCAUUCAGAAAGUUCUCUGCUAAUAAAUUCAGUUUGCAGAUUAUAUAAUCUCAAUAAAGCCAUAAGCUCUCUAUGGUUAAAUAGGAUUAGGGUUGGUCGGUGUGGAGGAUGUUUUGAAAUGUUAAACUUUAUAAAGGAUGGUUAAUAAUUCUAUCAACACUGUAGUGUUUGCUCUGUAACUUUAGACUAAAGAAAGUAACAGCUGGUUUUGAACUUUUCUUACGGCUCAGACCCAUACUGCCUUGACAACAUAUUAAUUUACCAGCUUUUGAUUAAACAACCCUACGCUAAAGUACACUUCGAAAAAUACCAAUAAA